AUGGGUACAGCUCAGUGGUAGAGUGCACGCUUAGCAUGCAUGAGGUCUUGGGUUCAAUCCCCAGUACCUACA
rnacentral:tRNA from 1 species